rnacentral:sRNA from 1 species
AAGCCACACUUGGCUUUCAAUGGUUUUCCAAAAAAAGGGUCGAUCUUAUUUUCAUAUAACCAUACUUCAUUCUUCAUUCAUCUCUGAGGCUUUGACUGAAAUGCCAACGGGACUGAACACGAAGAGGUUUCUUCUUCUUCAUGGGAAUUCCUAUAAAGAAUGCUCUAGAAAGAAGCUGCCGCUUUUACGAAGUGUUUGCUUGUAGUUAGUGGAGUCCCUCGAAUCCUCCGAGACCCAUUUAGUUUCCAUUGAGAGCCAGACUACAUUCCAAACAGUCAAACUACUUCUUAAUGUUGGCCAAAUGAAUAUUUAACAAUUAUUUAUAAUUAUACAAAAAGAAGCGAUUUCUUUUGAACCCUUCAGGACAAUAGAGCCUUCAGACGGGCUUAUGAUGUCAAGUGAGACAUCGUUCGACCAGUGAUUUGUAGGUACAGAGACCAAGAAGUGCAUCAGAGGCUUGGAGGUGUCGAAUCUCCAUUAUCUACAACGUAGUCUACUAUCUGACCACGCUAUUCUGAAGAUCCUGUCAUAGGGGCGCUGGGUCCAUGGGUCCUACUUACCAUGGUAUAUCUAGCUAACUCUGCUAGAAACACACAACGUUCUCAAGACGAUAGAUCAUUUAACAUCGAUUCGAAUGUUUUUUUUAUUGGUUAAUUACACAUUAACAGUGUUAACAAUUGCGUGGCCCAUGUAUGUAGCGCUCUGCGGGUCUGUAGGUGUGCGCUCAACAACAGCGAAAAAGAAAACAAUAAACAAUCGAAUCGGUAUUCACAGAAUUGAACAA